UCUGAUUCGAUCCUGUUUUGAUUGUCACAUAACCUUCAAAAUCACAAAAUGUUGUCUCACAAGACAUCUUAAAAUUAAUAGUCUUGGGAGUUCAAGAAACAAAAGCAAAAACAAUCACAUGACUUGUGACAAGUAACCGACUCAAGCCCUUAUUAAGAACAAAACACUUUGCAAUGAAACUGACAAACAAAACAGGAUCGAAUCAGAUCCUCUGCGAAGUCAUGCUUGAA
rnacentral:misc_RNA from 1 species